GGGUUCUAAUUCAGGCCUUCUAGGGAGGGGGGUAGGAUUAAAAGAAAUGGUCAAGUUGAAUACCUUCCUCUUCUUCUUCUGGCAACAAAGAAAAUGCUUUUGUUGAGGCAGGGCUAUUUGUUCUCAGCCACAUAAUCCAAAGGGAUCUUGAUAAUGGGUCACAGAUCAGUACAGUUGCUGUGCAUGGCCAAACAAAUGUGGAGCUUCUCAGGGCAGAGGCGCAGGAUUAAAAAUACUUAUGCAAUAGGCCCAUUUCAUUUCUAAAUGUUCAGUACUAUUCAUAAGACUAAAUUGUAAUGAAUGCAAAAGAAAAAAGAAGUCUCAAUUGAUGAGUGUGCAAGUAAUAUGCUUAUGACAGAGCUUUGUGGAGGAACACAGCCAAGGUUAGUAUUUUGCUUGAAGGAACAAUAGCGUCAUGUGUUGCUUUUCAUAGGACCGAUGCCAGUUUGUUGCUGCAGGUGCACUUGUGGUGUGGCCACAGGAGGGAAGCAAUAACCGACGUGCUUUCCUAUUCAAGUCACAAUCAAAAGAGUGCUUGUAAUUUAGUGGCUUGCUGGCGGAGCCCGGCCCAUAUGGUAGCUGCUGGGCACGGAGCAGAAAGCAGUACGGUGGGAGGACCAGUAUGCAUUUUGUCUAUUCAUCAGUACACCUGCACUGGUGUUGACUUUGUCGCUUAAUGUGUGUUUUUUUUAUUUCAUGUGAACAACAACGGAUUGCGCCCAGAGGACACCCAUUUGGUCUAACUGCCAGACAACAAUGACAAGGCGCCUCCCAGGGAGAUUUUGCACAUGUAUAAAAUCCUAAUGGGACAUAAAUGCAGAGGAUGCAACAUUCACAACCUGAUCUCCCCGGAUUGUGCUGCAUGGUGGAGCUCAGGCUUUAUGGAAGAAUCUGAAGUGGAAGAACAGAAUAUCCUCUUUAUUACUGCACGAAACAGAACACAUCAGCACUGAGCCACCCAGAACAAAGGGACACAAUAAGGAUAUGAGUCACCUCCGUGCAACAGAACCCAAUUCAAGAGAAUAGACGAUGAAAACUUCCCAUUCCCUGUCCCUCCAUUAAUGUAUACUAUGCAAUGUUCCUGUGCCCUGUAACUCAAUACUGACAGUCUCUGUUCACAGGCAGAGAACUCACCUGACUCCAUUGGC